UUCUAGAAUAUUUUUUAUUUAGGUGUUCGAGCCUUUAGGCUUGACCCACUUGAGAUAACCCUUUAGAACAUCAGCGCCAUCUAGUAGUUCGUAA